CCUUUCCUCUGGCUGGCAGCGCUAAAAGGCCGCACGAUGCCUGGAGUUACUGUAAAAGAUGUAAACCAGCAGGAGGUCGUCAGAGCUCUGGCAGCCUUUCUCAGAAAGUCCGGGAAGCUGAAAGUCCCUGAAUGGGUGGACACUGUCAAGCUGGUCAAGCAUAAAGAACUCGCUCCCUACGAUGAGAACUGGUUCUACACACGAGCUGCUUCCACCCCACGGCACCUAUACCUCUGGGGCAUCGCUGGGGUCGGCUCCAUGACCAAGACCUACAGGGGUCAUCAAAGAGACCGUGUCAUGCCCAGCCACUUCAGCAGGGGCUCCAAGAGCGUGGCCCAUCGGCUUCUCCAAGCCCGGGAGGGGUUGAAAAUGGUGGAAAAGGAUCAAGACGGGGGCCGCAAACUGACACCUCAGGGACAGAGAGAUCUGGACAGAAUCGCCGGACAGGUGGCAGCUGCCAAGAAGAAGCAUUAGAACAAAUGAAG